GUGAGCUUCUCUUGGAGGGUUGGGCGAAUUGUGAAGAAAUACGUUAAAUUAGAAGAAAUGUAAAGAAGACUUCCCCUCUGAACUUUAGGUUUGCUGUGACUCAGAGAGUGUGAGAAAAUUAGACCACAGCACCACUAAAAACCAAGACAAACAGCUGUACACCUGUCAAGUUGGAAUUAUUAGGCUGUAUUUGCAAGCUGAGAAUAUGAUGAAUACAAAUAUCAAAUGCUACACAACACCGAUCCUUUUCUGGCAGGAAGUUAAAAUUUAAAAGAAACCAAGGAACAGAGAAGUUAUGUAAUGUUCUCAAGGUCAUUCAGUAGAAACAGAAGACAAACCUAGCUGUAUGACUGCAGAACAGCUUCUUUCAACCACGUCAGUAACAACCGGGAAUACUAACGUAAGAUGAGAGAGUUCACCUGACAAACACAAGGCUCUACUUUCUGUGCUAGGCACCAGCACCCAAAACAUCAAUAUCCC
rnacentral:lncRNA from 1 species